UGGGGAAUAUUGCACAAUGGGGGAAACCCUGAUGCAGCGACGCCGCGUGAACGAAGAAGGUAUUCGUAUCGUAAAGUUCUGUCCUAUGGGAAGAUAAUGACAGUACCAUAUAAGAAAGCUCCGGCUAAAUACGUUCCAGCAGCCGCGGUAAUACGUAUGGAGCGAGCGUUGUCCGGAAUUAUUGGGCGUAAAGGGUACGCAGGCGGUUUAAUAAGUCGAAUGUUAAAGAUCGGGGCUCAACCCCGCAAAGCAUUGGAAACUGAUAAACUUGAGUAGUGGAGAGGAAAGUGGAAUUCCUAGUGUAGUGGUGAAAUACGUAGAUAUUAGGAGGAAUACCAGUAGCGAAGGCGACUUUCUGGACACAAACUGACGCUGAGGUACGAAAGCGUGGGGAGCAAACAGG
rnacentral:rRNA from 1 species